CACAGCAGAAUCACAACCGCCCCUCUCAAACUCUCACCAAAAAGUGCGUUUGGAUUUGGGAGAAUAGGCAUAACUGCACAUGGAUCGCCCCAAGUUGAUGAAAUUCUCAGAUCCUCUCUCCAUCGAUUUGAUAGUUGAAAUCCUGGCGAGGCUCCCCAGCAGCAGGGCAGCUAUCCGAUUGAAAUUGGUAUGCAAGAGCUGGUGUUCUCUUAUCUCUUCUCACUAUUUUAUUACUUUUUUCAAUCACCGCCGCCAUCACCUAUCCCUUCCGCCAAUUCAUCCCUCAUCGUCUGGCUGCUUGAUAUUCCGUUAUAAUUGUUUUGGGUAUUUGAGUAUGGUUUGCUGGGAUGAUGCUGCAGGCGGCGGCUUCCACAGGUCCGAUUUUAGUUUCCUUCCCUGUCCCAAAAACAGCAUUAAUUUGGUUGCUUUGUGGGCUGAUUUAAUUCUAUGCUCCACCUCCCCCAGCCACUUCGAACCCAAAAUCCAUUAUGUAUGUAAUCCACUAACCAAGCACUGGGUUGCUCUUCCUCGUGUCCCCCAAUUCCAAUUAAAUGGAAGAAUUUUCAAUGUUUCCACUGGCUUCCUUUGCGUUCCUGCGCCCUGUUCCCUUUGCAGCACCCAAUGUAUUGUAGGUGACAAUAACAAUAAUAAUUAUAAUUUUAUGGUGGUUCGAAUUUCUUCUAUUCCUACUACCAUCGAUUCCCAGUUCAACUUCGAAGCUAAACUUUUCUUGUCUGAGGAAGGUAAAUGGAAAAGUCUUGUGAUUUCAUCACCGCAGACCAUAAGGAAGUGGAUUCGACACCGUUCUUCUCAAACUCUUAUCCCCUAUAAAGGGAUGCUACAUUGGCUGGUUUCUGGAUUUAUUUUGGUGUAUGAUCCCUAUAAUUGUCCUAAAAGAUUUUGCCGUGUAAUUGAUACCCCAAGUGAGGAGGAGCGACGCACCCAAGUCCUUGGACUAUUUCAGGAUCGUCUCUGUGUAACAGAGCAUUCGUCGAAUAUUGAUGGUUCCUUCUAUUAUAUAUGGUUGCUGGAGGACUACAACAUGGGGAAGUGGAGUUUGGUGCAAAAGCUUUGCCAAACAAGUCUGCCUCACCCGGCCCUCCUGGAUCAUCCUCAUCUUGAUUCUAAAAUUAGAGAGACAGGAUUUUCCUACAUAGAUGGGAGUACUAUAUAUUGGACUGAUCCUUCUGGGGAGGGGGUCCCUUCUGGGCAGGGAAGUGCUAAUGGGAUUGUCCAUUGGAUUACUGAUCAGCGGUGGCCAACACCCGUGCCACCACUAACUAACCGCCGGCACAAGUCAAAAUGGCAUCCGGCAGAGAAAGGUCGGGCGGAGAAGAAGCCCAAGGCCGAGAAGAAGCUCCCCAAGGAGGGUGGAGUCGCAGCGGCCGGAGAUAAGAAGAAGAGGGUGAAGAAGUAGACGUACAAGAUCUACAUCUUCAAGGCGCAUGCUGAAGCAAGUCCAUCCUGACAUCGGGAUCUCCAGCAAAGCCAUGGGCAUCAUUGAUGUUCCAUAGAUGACGUACAAGAUCUCCUCUUGCCUUAUAGUUUGAUAAAAUUUUGGUUUUCACCUUUUUGAAGCAUAUUGAUUGCUAGGGGAUUGGAUGUUAUGCCAACAACCAUCUCACACUUCCGCAAUGGAGGUGAUAACGAGACGGCUGAUUUGUUGGAAACCAUGGUUUAUAAACAGAUUGACUUUGAAGAAUUCUGUGCUGCUGCAAUCAGUGUAUAUCACCUCGAAGCUCUUGAAAAUUGGGGAGAGAUAGCGAGUGCAGCUUUCGAGAACUUUGACAGAGAAGGAAACCGCGUAAUUUCUGUAGAAGAAUUGGCACAUGAACAGAACUUGGGGCCGACGGCUUAUGCUCUCCUCAAGGACUGGCUGAGGACUGGAUAAGAGCGGACGGGAAAUUAAACUUCGUGGGGUACACAAAAUUCUUGCACGGCGUGACAAUUCGCAGUGCAAAUGCAAGGUUUCAUAGAUAACAAGAGGAAGAAGGCAUGGAUGGAUGGAGGAUACAAAGGAGACGACUGAGUAGUAGUAUAGCUGUAAUUCUUUCUAUCUUCUUUAUUUUUCUUUCAAUAUUAUGUGCAGGAAUGAAUGGAUGGAUGAUCUUAAAGUUAUUUUUGAUGAAAAAUGUUAGCUGAGAGAGAGGUCAAAUGCAUGCAUGCAUGCAUGCGUGUAUCUUCUUCUACAAAUUCUUUUGAAUGUUGAAAAUCAUCAUUUUAUUCUUGUUUGUUUGUAAUACUUGAAUGUUGAAAAUAA